rnacentral:lncRNA from 1 species
GUUUGAGAAGGAAAAGGGCAAGUCCAUCUACAACAGCAUGUUGGUGCCCCCCGAUGUGCAGCACGCCAUGGGAGUGGCCAAGAGUCAGAGCAGCGUGAGCGUCUCCUCCAGUGUUUCCUUCACACGCUUCCUUUUCUGUUUACUGCAUUCUGCUUCUCUACUCAACCUUUACAGGUCGCCUACAAGAAGGAAGCUAAAGCCAACCUCCACUAUACGAGCGUGGCGGACCGGCCCGACAUUAAGAAAGCGACGCAGGCUGCCAAGCUCAUCAGUGAGGUUGGCUACCGGGAGAAGGCCCGAGCGGACGCGAGCCGCGGAGGUUCUCUGGUCCACCGCCCGGACAUCACUCUGGCCACCGAGGUGUCCAAGCUGAACAGCCAGCUGAAGUACAAGGAGAAGUUUCAGAAGGAGAUGAAAGGAAAGAAACCAGAGUAUGACCUGAAGAACAGUAAGAUCUACCAGAC